GCUAAGAUCAGUUUACUCAUAAAUAGGUAGUUGAUUUACCCAUAUUUAGGUUUCAUAUGCGUUACCAAUAAUAUGGGUAAAAUAUACCUUCAAAAAACGGUAAAAUGUACCCAUAUUAUGAGUAUAGCCACUGUACCCAAAUAUGGGUAAAUGAACUUACCCAUAUUUGGAUGAUAAUUUUUGAGUUAGCAACUUUCUUCUCGCGAUACAUUAGUGCCCCAGCACCGCCAUCAUAACACAACCGGAAAAUUUUACAUUUUGAUUUUCACGUUUUAAAGGCUUUCGUUGGCCAGUUGGUGUCCUUCCAAACACCGGUUUUAAUGACCGAUACCAUGUCCAUUGGACUCCCGCACGGGUACGAGCCGUGGUGCCCAUAAAAAUUGAUAAACUGGUUGGUUUGGUGCACGAAAAUACUGCAGGAGCUACCAAGGGAGCAACAAAUCAUCAUGUCCAGCUAGCAAGGCUCCAAAAUAAUGGAUUUUCCUCGGAUUUUUUCAGGUAAGUUCCGUAGUGACAUCAUUUUCAUUAACGACCAUAACCUUAAAAUAUCUUUUAUUUUGCAGUUCCGUCCGCACCGAGGUUUUAUCAGCGUAGCAGCAACCGGAGGAAUGAAUUACAUGGUUGAUCUUUUCGAAAACUUCAAAGAACCCCAACCCGAAUCCGAUGUCAGUCCCGAGAUGUGCAUUAGUCGGCUGUUAUCCAGGAGGAAACUUGGGAGGAAAUGGAUUAUUUUAAAGUUAUUUAGUUAAUUCAAAUAUGUAAUAGCUUUAAAAAUAGAUAGAAAUAAACUAUAAAAUGAA